GGUAUGGGAGCCUUUUGGGAUAGCAUUGGAAAUGUAAAUGAAGAAAAUACAUAAUUAAAAAAAAAGCCAGUGGUGGUGCACGCCUUUAAUCCCAGUGCUCGGGAGGCAGAGGCAGGAGGAAUUCUGAGUUCAAGGCUAGCCUGGUCUACAAAGUGAGUGCCAGGACAGCCAGGGUUACACAGAGAAACCCUGUCUCAAAAAACCAAAUAAAUAAAUGAGUAAAUGAAUAAAUAAAUAAAUAAGGGCUACACAGAGAAACCCUGUCUCAAAAAACCAAAUGAACAAAUAAAAUAAAAUAAAAUAACCAUAAGUAGGAUAGAGGGCGGUAACAAAGAGGGCUUCACGUGAAAGAAUGGUCUUGACAUUGUUGUAAAGGAGGUAAAAUUUGAGCAGAAAUUUUAAGGAAGAUAGCCAGAGGGAAGUGUGUGUGCAUGCACAUGUACUUGUGUGUGUUCAUGUAGUACUAGUAUUUUUUUCUUUCAAAUGGCUUUUUUCCAUCUGGGUUUAAAGAUUAUGUAGAGUCUAUUGGCUAAAAGCAUAUGGUUUUCCUUCAUUUGUGUUAUUUGUGUAAUUUUAGACUCUUGUUUAGAGUACAUGCAGUUACCAUAAAAAUGCUUAUAAUAAAUCCCAAUAGGUUUUUAACUUAAUAGACUCUUAAGACUAUUAAGUCUGGGAUGUAAGAAAAAUUUUGAAAUUUAAAACCUAUCUCAGUGCUUUAAUUUUACUAACCCUUGACAUAGCUAAUGAAGCACAAACAGAUUGGUAUUCUACAUUUCACAACAGCCAAAUAUUUAUUUCAAUUAAUGGGUUAUUCAUUUAUACAUAGUAGGGAGCCACUAUUUGAAGCAAAUACAUUUUUCCUUCUUUUUCUUCUUCUGAAUUCUUUUUUAAUAUUUAGUUUUAUUCAUAAUUCAUUUUUAUACCUAUAUUCCAUUCCCCAUCCCUCCCUACCCACCCUCCAACUGCUCCACAUUUCAGCCCUCCCUCCCACCCUACCCCAUCUCCACAUGGAUGCUCGCACCUCCCACCCCACCUGAGCUCUAAACUCCUUGGGGCCUCCAGCCUUUUGAGGGUUAGGUACAUCAUCUCUGAAUGAACACAGAACCGGAAGUCCUCUACUAUAUGUGUGUUAUGGGUCUCAUAUCAUCUGGUGUAUGCUGUCUGUUUGGUGGUCCAGUGUUUGAAAGAUAUCAGGGGUCCAGAUUAAUUGAGACUGCUGGUCCUCCUACAGGGUCGCCCUUCUCCUCAGCUUCUUUCAGCCUUCCCUAAUUCAACAACAGGGGUCAGCUGCUUCUGUCCAUUACAAAGAUAGUUUUAAAAUCACAAGAUUUCAAAAAUAUUUUGAAACUUCUUUGUGAAAUAACAUAUAUUAUUCAUUCUUGAUAGAACAAAUUAACUGAAAUGUCUAUCAAAUUUUCUAGGUUGUUUGCAUAAAAAAUAAGUAAUAAUUUGUUAUUACGAAUUCAUACAUGAAAAUAAAUGUACUGUGCAUCUGCAUUUAUAAACACUGGUAAAUAUUACAAAAGCUUUUGUGGACAUUAUGUACAAUGCCAGAAGAACUCUCUUCUGUUCAGUUGGGUGAUUGAAAAGGAAGUAAAUAUGAUGUUGGGUAGUAUGUAAAGUGGGCUUGACAAUCCAAUUGUGUUCUUUCAUAUAGUAACACCAUAACACAACUAACUCACCUUCAACUCUUAUAUGUACACGUUUUCCUACAAUGUAGAAUAAAGUGAUUGCUGUUUUAGGAGAUGAAUUCUUGUCCAGCAGCUUUAGCACUGUUGGUAGACUAUUACCAGGAAGCAGACAGAAGUGUGUCUGUGAGCCCACUCCCAAGGGAUGUCCAGAAUAACAUGUGAGCUUGAUAUUACUUCUCACAUUCAGUUUUCCUUCUUGUGACAUGAUUGCCACAUACUUUCAAGUUCUCCAGAUAGAAAGGCAACCUAUUUUGCAACUGUCUUAAUUUCAGUCAUAUGUGGAAACACAUUAGUCAGUAUGUAGUUGUCAGUCAUAGUCAGCAUGAUGCUGAGUUGAUCAAAGUGCAAAACACUAAGCUUUUAGGGGAUUGCAUUACAGAAUUGUGAAGAGAAUCUCAUUGGGUUCAGUUUUAUUGUUAAAAUGUGAGCUUAAAGUAUUUAUAUAUGCUAAUUUUCUCUAUAAUUCUAAUAAAGCCACAUAUCAAGAAAAUUUCAUUGGAAUUCUGGAUUAUAGAUAAAUAAUCUUGUCAGGCUAGGAAGCAUAAAUCUUCAGGUAGGUAAUAAAUCUCCAUACAUCAUUCAGUCAAAUGAAGUUACAAAGAAAUUGCAGUGUCAAAAUAUAUUCAGAGAGCUUUCUUUUGGUAUUGUAGUGCAUCUGAGGGGAUUUAAAACAAGUUCCUAUAAGAAAAGAUUUCAUUUGUUUUUACCUAACUUUUAAGUCAUUAGCCUUUCAGCAUUUUAUCAAAUGACAUUUAAAAACAGUAAGUUAAAUAGCUGCCCUAUAGAAAACUACUUCACACUCAGACUUGUGUUAGCCUCUGACUGUCUCAUCACAUGCAGAGACAAUAGCUAUGGUCACAUUCACAGUGGAUGUAUGCUAUUUGGCUAGUCAGCAUACUGAAGCAUUUUUAGUUAAGAAUAAAUAUUUGC
rnacentral:lncRNA from 1 species